rnacentral:rRNA from 1 species
GACGAACGCUGGCGGCGUGCUUAACACAUGCAAUUGGUGCGACGAACCAGGGCUUGCCCUGGGGCAAAGCCGCGAACGGGUGAGUACCACGUGGGUAAUCUGCCCCGAUGACCGGGACAACCCGAGGAAACCCGGGCUAAUACCGGCUGUGGUGCACACACACAAGCGUGGGGAUCAAAGGUGCCUUCGCCCUCCCCAGUGCGAGGGGCCGGUGGGCCAUUAGCUUGUUGGGGAGGUAACGGCUGACGAAGGAGACGAUGGGUAGCUGGUCUGGGAGGACGAUCAGCCACACUGGGACUGAGACACGGCCCAGACUCCUACGGGAGGCAGCAGUGGGGAAUCUUGCGCAAUGCGCGAAAGCGUGACGCAGCAACGCCGCGUGAGGGAAGACGGCCUUCGGGUUGUAAACCUCUUUCAGGAGGGACGAAGGCUCGCCGGUGAAUAGCCGUGAGGGUUGACGGUACCUCCAGAAGAGGCCCCGGCUAACUACGUGCCAGCAGCCGCGGUAACAC